GACGAACGCUGGCGGCGUGCUUAACACAUGCAAGUCGAACGGAAAGGCCCUGCUCUUGUGGGGUGCUCGAGUGGCGAACGGGUGAGUAACACGUGAGUAACCUGCCCUUGACUUUGGGAUAACUUCAGGAAACUGGGGCUAAUACCGGAUAGGAGCUCCUGCUGCAUGGUGGGGGUUGGAAAGUUUCGGCGGUUGGGGAUGGACUCGCGGCUUAUCAGCUUGUUGGUGGGGUAGUGGCUUACCAAGGCUUUGACGGGUAGCCGGCCUGGGAGGGUGACCGGCCACAUUGGGACUGAGAUACGGCCCAGACUCCUACGGGAGGCAGCAGUGGGGAAUAUGGCACAAUGGGCGGAAGCCUGAUACAGCAACGCCGCGUGCGGGAUGACGGCCUUCGGGUUGUAAACCGCUUUCGCCUGUGACGAAGCGUGAGUGACGGUAAUGAGUAAAGAAGCACCGGCUAACUACGUG
rnacentral:rRNA from 1 species